rnacentral:pre_miRNA from 1 species
UCUCAAUCCCUGAGACCCUAACUUGUGAUGUUUAGCGUUUAAAUCCACGGGUUAGGCUCUUGGGAGCUGCG